UACGUAGGUGGCAAGCGUUGUCCGGAUUUACUGGGCGUAAAGAGCGCGCAGGCGGUCGUUCAAGUCGCGUGUGAAAGCCCCCGGCUCAACUGGGGAGGGUCACGCGAUACUGAUCGACUUGAAGGCAGGAGAGGGUAGUGGAAUUCCCGGUGUAGUGGUGAAAUGCGUAGAUAUCAGGAGGAACACCUGCGGUGUAGACGGCUGGCUGGACCACUACUGACGCUGAGGCACGAAAGCGUGGGGAGCAAACAGG
rnacentral:rRNA from 1 species